rnacentral:rRNA from 1 species
AUUGAACGCUGGCGGCAGGCCUAACACAUGCAAGUCGAGCGGAUGAAGGGAGCUUGCUCCUGGAUUCGGCGGCGGACGGGUGAGUAAUGCCUAGGAAUCUGCCUGGUAGUGGGGGAUAACGUCCGGAAACGGGCGCUAAUACCGCAUACGUCCUGAGGGAGAAAGUGGGGGAUCUUCGGACCUCACGCUAUCAGAUGAGCCUAGGUCGGAUUAGCUAGUUGGUGGGGUAAAGGCCUACCAAGGCGACGAUCCGUAACUGGUCUGAGAGGAUGAUCAGUCACACUGGAACUGAGACACGGUCCAGACUCCUACGGGAGGCAGCAGUGGGGAAUAUUGGACAAUGGGCGAAAGCCUGAUCCAGCCAUGCCGCGUGUGUGAAGAAGGUCUUCGGAUUGUAAAGCACUUUAAGUUGGGAGGAAGGGCAGUAAGUUAACACCUUGCUGUUUUGACGUUACCAACAGAAUAAGCACCGGCUAACUUCGUG